rnacentral:rRNA from 1 species
ACACGACUACAUUAGAUACCCCGGUAGUCCUAGCCGUAAACGAUACUCGGCUAGGGUGUCGGCCACGGUGCGACCGUUGUCGGUGCCGUAGGGAAGCCGUGAAGCGAGCCACCUGGGAAGUACGGCCGCAAGGCUGAAACUUAAAGGAAUUGGCGGGGGAGCACCACAACGGGUGGAGCUUGCGGUUUAAUUGGAUUCAACGCCGGAAAUCUUACCGGGACCGACAGCAACAUGAAGGCCAGGCUGAAGACUUUGCCGGAUUAGCUG